rnacentral:rRNA from 1 species
CCUACGGGUGGCAGCAGUGAGGAAUAUUGGUCAAUGGGCGGAAGCCUGAACCAGCCAAGUCGCGUGAGGGAUGAAGGCCCUGCGGGUCGUAAACCUCUUUUGCCGGGGAGCAGAGGGCCGGACGUGUGCGGGCCGGGAGAGUACCCGGAGGAAAAGCAUCGGCUAACUCCGUGCCAGCAGCCGCGGUAAUACGGAGGAUGCGAGCGGUAUCCGGAUUUAUUGGGUUGAAAGGGUGCGUAGGCGGGCCUUUAAGCCGGCGGUCAAAUGUCGGGGCGCAACCCGGGCCUGCCGUCGGAACUGGGUGCCUUGAGUGGGCGAGAAGUAUGCGGAAUGCGUGGUGUAGCGGUGAAAUGCAUAGAUAUCACGCAGAACCCCGAUUGCGAAGGCAGCAUACCGGCGCCCUACUGACGCUGAGGCACGAAAGUGUGGGUAUCGAACAGGAUUAGAUACCCUUGUAGUC